CGCGUUAUUCCUGUAUUAUCUUCGUUCAUCGUCAUUCGGAGUCGCAGACGCAACCAACCAAACUUCCCCCCCCCUCAAAAGAUUUUCAUCGCUCUUUUCUUCACCUCUGAUUCCAGAUCCAGCCUCUUACUCCGGAAAAUGGAUUGUCUCGAUGGCCCUGCACGUCUCAUGAUUGUUUCCGAUCUUGAUCACACCAUGGUUGAUCAUCAUGACUCAGAGAACACAUCAUUGCUUAGGUUCAAUGCUCUGUGGGAGUCACUUUAUCGCCAUGAUUCUCUCCUGGUUUUCUCAACUGGGAGGUCGCCUACACUUUACAAACAGCUGAGGAAGGAAAAACCAAUGUUGACUCCUGAUAUAACAAUCAUGUCUGUUGGCUCUGAGAUCACUUAUGGCAAUUUGAUGGUGCCUGACAAUGGUUGGGUAGAUCUUCUCAAUCAAAAUUGGGAUAAGAGCGUCAUUCUUGAAGAAACAUCCAAGUUUCCCCAGCUGACUGCUCAGGCUGCAACUGAGCAGCGACCACACAAGAUUAGCUAUUAUGUUGACAAGGAGCAUGCUCAGGAAGUAAUAAGGUCUCUUUCAGAUGCUUUCCAGAGACGUGGGCUAGAUGUAAAAAUAAUCUACAGUGGAGGUAUGGAUCUUGAUAUAUUGCCACAAGGUGCUGGCAAGGGCCAAGCUCUUGCUUAUUUGCUCUCAAAGUUCAAGGCUGAAAGCAAACUACCUGUUAAUACACUUGUCUGUGGUGAUUCUGGGAAUGAUGCAGAGCUGUUCAGCAUUCCAGAUGUUUAUGGUGUCAUGGUCAGCAAUGCCCAGGAGGAAUUACUGCAGUGGCAUGCUGAAAACGCAAAAGAUAACAAGAAGAUAAUUCAUGCAACCCAAAGAUGUGCAGCUGGUAUUAUUGAAGCUAUUGGCCAUUUUGGGCUUGGUCCUAAUGCAUCUCCAAGAGAUGGUUUGGAUCUCUUAUCUUGCAAGACAGAUAACAGUACCCCAGCAAACAUAGUAGUAAAUUUUUUUAUUGCAUAUGAAAGGUGGCUCCGAGCUGAAGUGGAAAAAUCUGAAUCUUUCAUCCAAAGUUUGAAGGGCAUACUUGAACCAACUGGAGUUGCUGUUCAUGCUUCCGGAGUUGAACAUUCUCUUCAUGAAUGCAUAGAAUUACUGGGACCAUGCUAUGGUGAUAAGCAAGGAAAAGUUUUCCGAGUGUGGCUGGAUAGAGUUUUUGCUUCAAAAAUUGGAUCGGAUGUGUGGCUGGUAAAGUUUGAUAAGCGGGAACUAACUGGUGAGUGUUUAAAUUCAACUAAUAUAGCCAUUUCUGCCUUCCAUUUAUUCUCCAGUGUCAAUUUUACCGAUAAUGUUUCUUCUCAUUUAGAGCAAAUGUUUUAUCCCAGUUUUCUUUGUUAUUUGUUUCCCCCUUGUUCCCCAUUUUGAUAAUUUUCCUUCACAUAUAUAUAUUCUACAGAUGAUGGACAAAAUUGUUGUCUAACCACUGUUCUACUGUACUCCAAGCAUGGGAACCCUGGUAGCUUCAGCUUAGUUCAUCUCCAUCAGACUUGGCUUGAAGGAUUUGCAGCAAAAACUCAAAGUCCUAGAUUAUUCUAAUUCAUAAUUUUCCGAUUAUAGAAUAUGGCUAUUGAUAUCUUUUCGAGUUCCUGUGUUCAACCAGUGCUUUUGUACCAAGGCUACCAAAUACACUUGGCCUGAGAGUAUCAUUAUCAAUAAUACCAUUGCAAAACUACAUUUGCCAGCACUAAUUUCAAGCAAAAUGAAAAUAAUGGCAACGGUGUUUUCUUGGCCCAUUGCAACACUUUUGCA